rnacentral:lncRNA from 1 species
UGUAGGUUCAAUGUGUUAAUCAUGUUGAUGAAGAUUUCUUUUCAGAAAAAACUCCUGGUUUUGGUUUUAAAGCACCCACUUCGUUGUUACCAAAUGUUAACAAUGGACAGUAUCUUGCUGUAAAUAAACCCUGGAAGAAACACGGAAACAAAAAUAAAAAAGAAAAGCUCCGAAGAAUUCAUGAUAAGUGAAACAGAGGAAAUAAUCUAUUAUAAUAAUCAAACAUUUAAAAGCGGGAAAGAAUUAAUAAAAACAACAAUUAACUUUAGUUUCAUAGACUUUAUGAAAUUGAAACUGAAAUUGUAUUUUUAUAAUGAAAACCAUAAAAUUAAUUAA